AUUAGUAAUAAUUUCAUGGAAUCGUAUCAGCACUGUCAACACAAGGAAUGACCUGCAUGUGUUACCGAUACGGAUUAACUCUUAAACCAGGAGUUUAAGCAACUAUUUGGAUAUCAAAGGAGUUCUUAGAUACGUGAUGCAACACCUCGCUUGAUUUAUGGCUGUUGUUGUUUUUCCACUUUCUUUUUGAGGAAAAUAAAACUUUAAAUCAACAGUGAAGAAGUUGUGCUUCUUGUUUUAAGCAGCGGGGCAACUUAAAAGUUCACUUACCUGAUCUUCGUGAUCACCUGUAGCGGAAGAAGCCAUAUUGAAGAAGGUGUGUAGCGCAGCUGGUCCGGUUCACAGAUUCACUUUCUCACUAAACGUGCACCUCCAAGGAGUCCCUAAAGCGGUCAGGGAGCAGGAAGGGGGCGGUGUAAGUUCUUCGGAAACGGUAAAAAGUCCAGGUGCAG